AUGAACGCUGGCGGCAUGUUUAAGGCAUGCAAGUCGAUCGCAUUUUUUCCGCAAGGAAAAAAAGACGAGGCGAACGGGUGAGUAACACAUUGGCAAUCUACUUUCUACUCGGGCAUAACUCUGCGAAAGCGGAGAUAAUUCCCGAUAUACCUGAGGGGACGCGAGUCAUUCUCAGGGAAAGCUCCGGCGGUAGAAAAGGAGCCUAUGGCCCAUCAGCUUGUUGGCGGAGUAAUAGCCCACCAAGGCGAUGACGGGUAUGGGGCGUGAGAGCGCGACCCCACACACUGGGACUGAGACACUGCCCAGACUCCUACGGGAGGCUGCAGUCGAGAAUCUUCCACAAUGGACGAAAGUCUGAUGGAGCAAUGCCGCGUGCAGGAAGACGGCCUUCGGGUUGUAAACUGCUUUUAUAGGGGACGAAUUGAUGACGGUACCCUAAGAAUAAGUCACUGCUAACUUCGU
rnacentral:rRNA from 1 species